rnacentral:rRNA from 1 species
GGCCAGAGAAGGGAAAAGCCUUGGCGCUUCGAGAGUGGGCUCGCGUCCCAUUAGCUAGUUGGUGAGGUAACGGCUCACCAAGGCGAAGAUGGGUAGCUGGUCUGAGAGGAUGAUCAGCCACACUGGAACUGAGACACGGUCCAGACUCCUACGGGAGGCAGCAGUGGGGAAUAUUGCGCAAUGGGCGAAAGCCUGACGCAGCAACGCCGCGUGGGUGAAGAAGGUCUUCGGAUCGUAAAGCCCUGUCAGGAGGGACGAAACAAAUGACGGUACCUCCAAAGGAAGCACUGGCUAACUCCGUG